rnacentral:rRNA from 1 species
AUGAGCUUAUCUACCAUUGGGGUCAUUGGUGACAUCAAUGAAUGCGUCACUUUGUUUCAGUGGGCCAAAUCUGCCAUUUCAUCUCUGCAUUCCCGAUGGAGUGGCUCACAGCAGCAAGAUCUCCAAGGUCGUGUAUCACAGUUGGAGAGUGGACUACAGAGCCUCAGGGAUACUCUUCCUAGAAUGUAUGACCUAAUCGACAAAGCAGAGUGGAGAAGCUAUGAGAAAAGUGUGGCCAAACUCCUUCCCAAUCUCAAGGAUGCAGUGUAUGAGGCCGAGGACCUUCUCGAUGAGUUCAAAUGGUACGAGAUGAAGGUGCAACUGGAGGUCAUUGCAAGCUAA